UCCAGAGUGUAGACUGAGAAUGGACCAGAGGAAUGCCCGGUUAGCUUCUCUGGCCUGCUCUCUUGGACAGAGAUGGACGCCUUGGCCAGUGCUUUUUCUCAACUGCGGAUAAGAGAAGAUGAACUGAGCCAGGCGGCGGACGACACUGGCUCUUCGGACAUGCCCCCUGACAUCUACGAGGGGGGCCUGGGGGCCCGAAGGCCACCGUGCUCCAGCCCGCCCGGAAGCAAGCCCAAGAACUUCCGCCUGCGGCACCUACGCGGGCUGAAUUCCUACCUGCCCAGCGACCUCCGGCCCGCCGGCCAGUGUGAAAGCCACUGGCUGUGGAGGCUCAUGAGCGGAACCUGUCCCCCGCUCCCUCGGGUGCCAGCCGGGGGUGGGGCCGGGACACUGCGGACUCUUUUCCCGGAAGGCCAGACAUGCCCUAAGACAGCCUUCCCGGCCCUCCCUGCGUCCGCGGAGAGCCCCGGGACUAGCCGCCAGCAGGAGAGCUUGGCUCCGGGUUCCGUCAAGGAUACGACAGAGGCUUCCCCCUCCCAGGCCAGACCCAGACCCGGGCCCAGGCCCAAAAGGUCCAGGUUGGCCUCGCAGAAGUCUGCAUACCCCGCGUGCAAGAGAACACGCCCUGAUAGCCACGAGGGGCCACGGCAGGGCCCAGAGGCGGAGCUAGGAUGCUCACAGGAAAAAGGGGAACUGAGUGCAGAGACGUCUGACCUCGCCUAAAGGGCCCGUGGAGGGGAAGAGCUGAGAGAGACCCCGGGCGGGGGAGGACGGCCUCUUGCCGCCACCACAGCCUACCAGCCAGCCGGUCGGGCGGCCCUGGAAGAGAAUGCCAAACGGUCCAGGGCCACCGAGAGAAGAAGCGGGGUGGCCCAUGCCCCGGUGGCCAGGAGAAGAAGAAGCAGGAGUCGGGGCACCGGGAGGCUCUGCUCUCAGGGCAUUCAGGAACCGGCAUGACACCGCAGACAAGAAGCAAGGCAGAACAUCCCAGCCGGGCCGGCGGCAUCAGGGUUUCAGACUCGGGAGACUCCUCCAGAACUCUAACCAACAAACCCCGAAGUUCCAUUUUCAGUUAAUACUGAACAGUGCUGAAUGCUUUCUCCCCUGGCGUCACACUUGCGAUCCCACGAGCCCCAGGGAGGGUAGGUGAUGAGAGGUCAGGGGAACGUGUUAUUUCGGUCGAGUCCCCUAAUAUACCAAAAGCUGAGCAUCUGAU